rnacentral:tRNA from 1 species
AGAAAGAUAAGCUAAGUCUAAGCUCAUAGGUUCAUACCCUAUUUAUGGUUCCGGCCUCUUUCUA